GACAGAGGGUGCGAACGUUGUUCGGAAUUACUGGGCGUAAAGCGCGUGUAGGCUGUUCGGAAAGUCGGGUGUGAAAGCCCUGGGCUCAACCUAGGAAGUGCACUCGAAACUCCCGAACUGGAGUCCCGGAGAGGAAGGUGGAAUUCUCGGUGUAGAGGUGAAAUUCGUAGAUAUCGAGAGGAACAUCGGUGGCGAAGGCGGCCUUCUGGACGGUGACUGACGCUGAGACGCGAAAGCGUGGGGAGGCAAACAGG
rnacentral:rRNA from 1 species